CCUACGGGAGUCAGCCGUGAGGAAUAUUGGUCAAUGGGCGGAAGCCUGAACCAGCCAAGUAGCGUGCAGGAUGACGGCCCUACGGGUUGUAAACUGCUUUUAUACGGGAAUAACGCGCCUUACGUGUAGGGCUUUGCAUGUACCGUAUGAAUAAGGACCGGCUAAUUCCUUGCCAGCAGCCGCGGUAAUACGGAAGGUCCGGGCGUUAUCCGGAUUUACUGGGUUUAAAGGGAGCGUAGGCCGCAUGUCAAGCGUGCUGUGACAUGUCCGGGCUCAACCCGGGCCUUGCAGCGUGAACUGGCGUGCUUGAGUCCGCGGAAAGCAGGCGGAAGUCGUCGUGUAGCGGUGAAAUGCUUAGAUAUGACGAAGAACCCCGAUUGCGAAGGCAGCUUGCUGCAGCGGAACUGACGCUGAUGCUCGAAAGCGCGGGUAUCGAACAGGAUUAGAUACCCCAGUAGUC
rnacentral:rRNA from 1 species